ensembl:lncRNA
CACGUCAAACCUAUCUCCCAAUUCAUCCCACCCAAUCCCUUCCCCCUGGGUCCACACAUCCGGUCUCUAUGUUCACAUCUCUGUUCCUGCUCUGGGACUAGAUUGAUCUGUACCAUUUUUCUAGAUUCCACAUAUUUGCAUUAAUAUAUGACAUUUGUUUUUCUGACUUACUUCAUUUUGUACAAUAGACAAAUGUAGGCAGUUAGAUAACCACCUUAAACCUGAAGUCCCAGCUUGUUUGGGGAAAGGUUUAUUUUGCUCAAAAGUAUUUGUCAAGAAAGCCUUGUGAACUGUCAUAUAACAGAUUUUGCUUUGUCAACACAUAACUUUUCUGAGAAGUUAAAACCACCUUAUAGGGCACUUGUUGACAACUUUGAAAGAAAAUUAUUUCUGGAUGAUCAUUUCCCCUACAAAACAUGUGACUUACCAAACCUUAAAAAGUUAAAAAAAAACAACAACAACCUAUCACAUCUAUCUUCAGCAAAUUAAAGGCAAACUGAAGAUGUUUUCAAGUUUAAUUUCUAAUUUGAAUUAUAUACCAGAUUCAUUACUAGGCCAGCCUAAACUAAUACAUAAAAUCCAUUUAUUACCAAGUUGUCCCAUUAAGAGAAAUGGCAUUUGAUAAAAUCUCAUAAUGUUAGUUUCUGACUAUAAAAUAUUACCAGUGCCAGAGUUUUGAGUGAUAGCACUAUGGUAGAUGGCAUAAUAACCAGAGAUCAGAUUACUUGAGUUUGGGAUGGAACUAAUCAUUGCAGCUAAGUUUAUCAAUAAAUUCUGGCUUUAUAUUGUUUUCCCUUUAGACCACUAUAUUAGUUAAGAGGAUUUUGUCUAUAGUAAUGGAAAACCCAAUGUAAAGGGUCUUAAACAACAGAGUUUUAUUGACCUAGGUAACAAAAAAAUUAAAGGCAGGAAAGUGAUCAAGUUUGGUUCCAUCAGGGUUCUGAUUUCUCACUUUUUUGGCUGUGCCCUCCUCUACGUAUUGGCUUUAUCCUCAUGCUGGUAGCUAGAGAGUUGCAGCAAUUCCAGGCCUCCCAAGCACACAGGAUAUUUAUCUCUUCCUUAAGAGUGAGGAAGCAUCUUUUGUCAAAGCCCCUGUAAUACUGCUCUUCCCUUUCACUUGCUUGCAUUGGGUCACAAGCUAUUCCUGGGCCAAUUUCUGUGGCCAGAGUAAUAGUAUGCCUCAAUAGGCUUAGAGGCAGGUUCCCUGAACAAUUUUUGUAAGAGCAAUGGCAUUACAUUCACCGCUAUUUUUCAAAUGAUGGAUUACAACCUAAGAAUGGAUCAAGAAAUUAAUCUUUUGAGUCCUCAUUAUUGAAAAAAAUUAAAUAUAUUUUCAACUACAUUGCACAUAUGAAAGAUUAGUACUGUUUUAUGACACUUUGGUGUUUACACAUACAGCUAGAUUAUAAUGUAAAAUCUGUUUCCUAUUGUGAACUGGGGUGAAAAAAACUAUUUUGAAACAAGUCCAUACCUAAAGCUGAAGUGGGGUCAGCUUUUACUUAAGCAUAUGGAUUAUGUAGGGGAAAAGUAGAUACCUGAAAGAAAAUCAAGAGUACAAUCUGGUAGAGAAAACAAAGAUGCUGGGGAUUAGUCAAUAAAUUCCACUGCAACCUGCCUGACGCAUAAAUUAUUCCUUAAACUAUAUUAGAUUCCUACAUAGUCAUCAUAACCAAAUAUAUUUUAGUUUUUCCAAUGUUUUCUAAAAAUUUCCCCUUCCAAAAAAAAAAUUCAUUUAGUAAGUAUCCCACAAUGGAGCAAUUUAUAAAUUUCAUCAUUUGGUCGUUGAAAAGCAUUAUAGUUUAAGAUUCAUUUAAUAAGCUUGGUUUAUGGGAAUUCCCUGCUGGUCCAAUGGUUAGGACUUGAUGCUUUCAAUGCUGGGGGCACAGGCUUGAUCUCUGUCAAGGAACUAAGAUCCUACAAGCCAAGUGGUUAGGCCAAAAAGAAAAAACCUUGUCUUAAACAACAAGGUCCUACUAUCAAGCAC